UCUACCGUAGUAGACUGACCGACAAAAUUCCGAACUGUGUUUGGAACUGAGCCCUAGUAGCCCCGCGGAUUCAGAAAUUAAGUUCCUCCACGCAAGGGGGCGCUCCAGGCUCUCCGCUCCACGUUGCGCUCCGCUGAGGCGCCGCUCUAGGCCUCAGCCCGCGCUCUCAGCUGUACUUCCGCCCGCGCUGAGCAAGUGGAGCGCUUCCUGGGCGCGUGGCUUUGUUCCCUUGCAGUGCCUCGCCAUCUCCCGGAAUCCGCAGACAUCUGGCACACUCCUGCGCUGUGCUCCCGGUCUCCGCCGUGCCUGGGGUCAGGCCGCUGAGGUGCUACAGCCCUCCUGGGCGCAGAUGCAGAUUCUCUCUCGGAUGGCUUUGCUGGUUCUGCACCAGGCAGGGCCCCCUUCGCCCCUGCAGAGUCCCCAUGCGCACUCCCUGAUGGGCUCUGGCCGUCCAGGGCUGAGGAUGACCCAGAGACAGGUGGACAGAGGUCUAUCUGCCAGUUCACUCCCCAUAUUCCUGCAAUGGCCAGGACUGGACCAAGCUGAAGCCAGGAGCUGGGCACCCAAUCCAGUUCUCCCACGUGGGUGGCAGGACCCCAACUACUAGAGCCGUCACCUGCUGCCUGCCAGGAUGCACCUUCAGGGGAAGCUGGACCAGAACCGGGCACUCUGAUGUGUGAUCGUGGGCUGCCCGUGCCCUGGUCAUUGAUAGUGCAGGGAGAGCAGCUGCUGAAAGCACUUCCCCGUGUUUGGAGGGUCCGCGCCGUCCCUGCCGAACCCUGGAGCGUUCGCACACCUCUGCCCUCUCGGCACCUUCUGGAUACCUCCUGGCAGCUGGCGGCUGGCCUCACCUUGAAGGUGGUGUCUAGCUUACUUCUGGCAGACGGCAGUGUGCAGCACUUAAAGCAGGAGUGAAAGCAGAAGCUAGAAAGAACAGAGGCGCAGCUGUAAGGUGGUCUGUUGUGCGGAGGCCUCGGGGCACGCGUCUGCCUCACUGCAGCAGGAGCUGGACCAGAGCCCCUGAGGUCUCAGCCUUCGAGCCGGAUGGCCGAGGAGUCGGUGACUCCCCGGGUACCCCGUGGUCACUCGGUGGUGUUUAUGGACAGCAGAGGGACAGAAUGGAUUCGAGGUCACCACGUGAAGUAUCACCGGCAUUGCUUCCUGGGCUGGCUCAGAGCACCUGGAACAGCUCUGCACAAGAAUCCCGUGCAGACGUGGGAGACUUGGCUGGCUCUGGCUUUGACCUUAAUAGCCAAGUUUCUCUCUUGGAAUCCCAUCAAUAAACCUUAUGGACUAAC